rnacentral:lncRNA from 1 species
UUAUAAACUGGACCCCUGUUGUGUUCACUUAUCGCUACACUGACAACAGGUAUGGCCUAAAUCCCGUGGUCAGAAUUCUGACCACGGGAUUUAAUAAUUCGACGAGACUAGUACAUCAUGGACUAUGUUUAAUUAUGUAUUAUACUGAUAGCAAAUCAAAGAAAAAUUAGCACAUUUAUUACCCUACUGAGUUCUUGAGGGAAUAAAAGAUACCGG